UACGAAGGGUGCAAGCGUUACUCGGAAUUACUGGGCGUAAAGCGUGCGUAGGUGGUGAGUUAAGUCUGUCGUGAAAGGCCCCGGGCUCCAACCUGGGAAUGGCGAUGGAUACUGGCUCGCUAGAGUGCGGUAGAGGAGAGUGGAAUUCCCGGUGUAGCAGUGAAAUGCGUAGAGAUCGGGAGGAACAUCAGUUGCGAAGGCGGCUCUCUGGACCAGCACUGGACACUGAGGCACGAAAGCGUGGGGAGCAAACAGG
rnacentral:rRNA from 1 species